UCACUCAGUUUCAACGGGGUCAGACAGUAGAUAAGUUAUUUUUAUCAGCUUGGAUUGAGGAGCGCGAGACUUGGCUGCAGUUCUUGGUAAUGGGUUUAUACCAGGUUAUGUCCACCUUUUUUUCUUGAUAACGUUUCAUUUGUCAUAAAACAUAGGGAUUGAAUUUUAGUAUGAUGUUAUGGAUAUUGUAAAAGCAUUUGUAAAAGGCAAAUUUGUGUUUUUUUUAAAAUUCAUUGAGAUAUCAUGGGCUAGUGGUAGCUUAGUAGCUUACACAUAAACGGUCAAACAAUGCAUUCAUAAUAUUGUAGACAGGACAGUUGAGUUUAACAAUACAAAUUAGUGAAGUGGUUUUAACAAUAUUGCCAUACAUUGUAAGAUUAUUUAUACUGUAAAAGCCUUUGUAACAUUAUGCUUGUGGUAGCUUAGCUUAAGUGUAAGCAGUCAAAAAAUGCCCUCAUAACAAUUUAUACAACACAGUAGAGUUUAACAAUAUAAAUCAGCAAGGAAAAGUUCAAUUAUCACUAUAAAAUAUAAAUACAAUGAAUCUUGAAAAGUGCUUAAUGAGAAACAAGAAUCAAAGAAGUCAAAGAUACUGGGGAUCGAGAACUGUUGCCUUGGCUUUAUGAUGGAUAUGAGCCAUUGGUUAUUAAGGUGUUGAUCUGAAACUAACUGAAAGUAGAAUAAACACAAGGGAAAGAAUAAUAAGGUCUUAUUCACUGAUACUGCUGAUUGUUACUUCAUAAUUUAACAACAAUAACAGCAAUAAAAUCUUCAUUCCAAAAUUUUGGGUCGAUUCUACACAUCAAUUCUGAUAAGAGGGGGUGGAAUUGAAUCAAAUCGAAUAGAAGGAGAUUUGAAUUUGAACACCGUUCGCUUUCAUUUUUCGAAUGCCUAUAUUUAUCUGAAUUUGAUUCUUUUCGUAUUGUAGGUACUUGGUAACUAUUAGUAAUUUUUUGUUUAAAAUCCUUAACCUCAGAUCUAUUCCUCCAAUCCUCCAAAUCUCAUCUUUCAUUGACGCCAAAAACUUACAAUGGCUUUUACAAACAUCUGAAAAAGAUGAUGUAAACAAAGAGAUGUGGGUCCGAGACUUCAAGUAAAGAGAAACCAGGAGACUGAUGUCAAGAGGGGAAAAAAAGGGCAUAUGGUAGUAUUUGUGCGGGUUGGGUGUAUAACAAAAGCUUGGAGAAAAGGCUACAUUGCACUUAAAUACCUUACAGUUUACCAAAGUGUGGAGUGCGAUGUGCGUGCAUGUGGAGGAAGAAGAGAUGAUGGUAAAGAGGGAUAGGGUGAAGCAGUUAGGAGGAGGUUGGAAUUAUUUAGAGAAAGAAGUGGAGAUGAUAUUUGUGUGUGUCUGUGAGCGGUUGAGCG